rnacentral:rRNA from 1 species
UACUAAUACUAUGUGAUACACUUUCUAAGAGUCGAGUUGUUUGGGAAUGCAGCUCAAAAAGGGUGGUAAAUUCCAUCUAAAGCUAAAUAUAGGCCUGAGACCGAUAGCGAACAAGUACCGUGAGGGAAAGAUGAAAAGUACUUUGGAAAGAGAGUCAAAUAGAACGUGAAA